GUCCUUACCCACCACUCUUCCCUUUUAGCCUCUCUCCACUAAACACUUGUUAUAUCUCUAAAUAAUUAUCUUGCACGCUUUAGUUAUCAUCCUCUUUUCUAAUGUCUACCUCCUGCAGUCAACUAUUGAAAAAUUGCAAACUUAGUCACACAUUCUCACUAGAAAUCUGAGAUGCACAAUCAUGAGGCCUCACCUUCAUAGAACAAUCUAAAUAUGCAACAAGAGCGAUAAUGAACAUUGCUGUGCAAAAUAUCAGUUAAUGUACCUUUUGCAAAAUGUGACAAGCUGACUGUACUAUAUUUUAAUUUUUAUUUAUUUAUACUCCUCACUCUCUAAAAUGUUCAUUGUACUACAAUAAUUAUUUGAAAAAUAAAGAUUGUCAGAAAAAGAAAAGAAAUAUGAAAUAUGGAACAGACAACACAUAUUACCCUAUAGGAUUGGGGCAUUUCAGGGAAGUUCAAUCUCCUUCCACUCUACUUGACCCCUGCAUAACAUCAUCAAAAAUCUCAUAAUAUAAAAAAACCAAACAUGUUUACUGAACUCAGCAAACAAAACAUUACUGCAUAUAUAAUAGCUCAAAACAUGAAUUACCGCUACAUGAGCAAAGCAUUAUAGGAGCAUCUUUCAUUGCCCGUUGCCAAUCAUCGUCCAAAUCACAUAAAUUGUUGUAAUCAAAUGUGCUUUCACAGUGGGUGGUGUAAAUCAUGGCCAACGGGUAAGAUGAAAUUAAAACCAUACCCAUACAAAUUCUAAAUGUGAAUCAAUUAGGAAAUAGAAAUGAACCAUGUGAACAAAUUGAAUCUUACUGUUAUAGAUGGAAACAAUAUAUAAAAAUAUAAAGAGAAAUUCAAGCCCAAAUUCGGCAUAACAACCUGUAUUCAUGAGAAACAUGGAGUGUAAUGAAACACCAGAAAUAGAUAAA